rnacentral:tRNA from 1 species
GACAGUGUGGCGUAGUGGUUUGGGUGUUGGACUACAACUCUGGAGACCAGGGUUCGAAUCCUGCCUUGGUU